AUAAGCUAACAACAAGCAUAACAUUUUCAUUCUUCUCCCCCCUAUUAGAAUGAAAACCCUAAACUCCCUUUUUUUGACCGAUGCGGUUUACUCCCUUUUCCGCAUCGGUUUUUUU
rfam:Listeria innocua Clip11262 complete genome, segment 2/12